GCAUGCUUGUGGAGAGAGUUUUUCAUGAGUAUGCGGUGGUUACCGCGACCUUCGAUUCACAAUCUCGGGUCGGGACGUGACAGUUUCUUUGGAGUGAAGGAAAAUGUCAUGGCAAGUCAAAGAAUCUGGCCAGCUGGUCAUAGGUGUGCCAUCCCAAAUAUAUGGGAGGUUUGGGAAUCAGGAAUCUCAAAAUCAUGAAUC
rnacentral:lncRNA from 1 species